rnacentral:rRNA from 1 species
AACGAACGCUAGCGGCGUGCUUAACACAUGCAAGUCGAACGAGAAAUCCCGGGCAACUGGGAGAGUAAAGUGGCGCACGGGUGAAUAACGCGUGGGUAAUCUACCCUGAAGAUGGGAAUAACACCUCGAAAGGAGUGCUAAUACCCAAUACGAUCUGGAGGGCCCCGGCUCUUCAGAUGAAAGAUGGCUGAGGCUUGCAAGCUAUUACUUUAGGAUGAGCCCGCGUACCAUCAGCUAGUUGGUGGGUAACGGCCCACCAAGGCUAGGACGGUUAGCUGGUCUGAGAGGACGACCAGCCACACUGGAACUGAGACACGGUCCAGACUCCUACGGGAGGCUG